rnacentral:rRNA from 1 species
GGGGAAAUUGCCCGGUAGAGGGGCCUUUCCAUUGGAAACGAUGGAUAAUACCGCAUAAUCCCUCAUGACCAAAGAGGGGGACCUUCGGGCCUUGCGCUACCGGAUAUGCCCAGGUGGGAUUAGCUAGGUGGUGAGGUAAGGGCUCACCAAGGCGACAAUCCCUAUCUGGUCUGAGAGGAUGAUCAGCCACACUGGAACUGAGACACGGUCCAGACUCCUACGGGAGGCAGCAGUGGGGAAUAUUGCACAAUGGGCGCAAGCCUGAUGCAGCCAUGCCGCGUGUAUGAAGAAGGCCUUCCGGUUGUAAAGCACUUUCAGUAGGGAGGAAGGUGGUAGCGUUAAUACCUUUGUCAUUUGACGUUACCUACAGAAGAAGCACCGGAUAACUCCGUGCCCAGCAGCUGCGGUAAUACUGAGGGUGCAAGCGUUAAUCGGAGUUACUGGGCGUAAAGCGCAUCGCAGCGUGGUUUGUUA